CAACACUUCUCCAGUCCUCCUCGUCGGCAACCUUGCAUUACCGUUGCCGCCGUGGUGGCUCCAGCAACGAUUCUGUCCUUCACUCCUUCACCUCUCUGCCAAAGAUCUUUGUGUUUGCAGUGCAAAAGCCAUUUCCCAAUCCCCAACGAACAGUACCCUGUGAUUCCAUGACUGGGGUGGCGCUGGCUGGCUUAAAGUUGGCAACAUCGCCGAUCCUGAAGAGGCUCCUCGCAGAUGCCUCAACAUUCCUUGGGGUGGACAUGGCAAGUGAGCUCCAUGAACUGGAGAGCACAAUUAUGCCGCAGUUCGAGCUGAUGGUUGAAGCAGCUAACAAAGGCAACCACAGGGUCAAGUUGGACAAAUGGAUCCAAGAGCUCAAAGAAGCCUUCUACAAGGCUGAGGAUCUGCUGGACAUGCAUGAGUAUGACCUCCUUGAGCGCAAAGCAAAGACUGGGAGAGAUUCCUCGCCACUGUGUGCCUCAUCCAUCAGCACUAUUUUGAAGCCUCUGCGUGCUGCAUCUAACAGGUUAUCCAAUGUUCGCCCAAGGAACAAGAAGCUACUUUGCCAGCUGAAUGAACUGAAGGCCAUUCUAGCGAAAGGGAAGGGGUUCUCUGAGCUUCUUUGUUUACCAGGUGGUAACACUGCAGAGAGGCCCAUUAUUCCUCAGGCCACAUCAUUACCACCUCUGAAAGUAAUAGGUCGUGACAAGGAUCGCGAUGAUAUAAUAAACCUUCUUACCGAGCCAGUUGCUGUUGAAGCUAAUUCAGCUGUAUAUGCGGGUUUGGCCAUUGUCGGAGCAGGAGGUAUGGGAAAAUCCACCUUGGCACAACAUGUUUACAAUGACAAGAGGGUACAAGAACAUUUUGAUGUCAGGAUGUGGGUGUGCAUCUCACGCAAACUUGAUGUCCAUCGUCAUACACGGGAGAUAAUCGAAUCCGCAGCUAAGAGGGAGUGCCCACGUCUUGAUAAUCUGGAUACUCUCCACUGCCAAUUAAGGGACAUACUGCAGAAGUCAGAGAAAUUCUUGCUUGUAUUGGAUGAUGUUUGGUUUGAUGAUUCGAGUAAUCAGAUGGAAUGGGACCAACUGUUAGCUCCCCUAGUUUCUCAGCACAAGGGAAGCAAAGUUUUGGUAACUUCUCGACGGGAUACAUUUCCUUCCGCUCUUUACUGUGAAAAGGUGCUCCGUUUGGAAAGCAUGGAAGAUACUCAGUUCUUGGCACUCUUCAAAUACUAUGCCUUCACUGGAGCACAAAUUAGAGACCCUCCGUUGCUUGAAGGGCUAGAGGUGAUUGCAGAGGAGAUAGCUAAAAGGCUUGGACAGUCUCCUUUGGCUGCAAAAGUUGUUGGUUCCCAGUUGAAAGGGAAAAUGAAUAUCUCUGCCUGGAAAGAUGCUCUGACUUUAAAGAUUGACAACUUAAGUGAGCCUAGAAUGGCUCUGUUGUGGAGUUAUCAGAAGUUAGAUCCACGUCUACAGAGGUGCUUUCUAUAUUGUAGUUUGUUUCCAAAAGGGCACAGGUAUAACACUUAUGAGUUGGUUCACCUGCUGAUAGCGGAGGGGCUUGUUGAUCCGUGCAACCAGAACAGGAAAAUGGUAGAUGUUGGAAAGGAUUACCUCAAUGAGAUGGUUUCUGGGUCUUUCUUGCAACCAUUUUCUGAAAGAUUUAUGGACACAUACUACAUUAUGCAUGAUCUUCUUCAUGAUUUGGCAGAGUCGCUCUCUAAAGAAGACUGUUUCAGAUUAGAAGAUGAUAAGGUGACAGAAAUACCAUGCACCGUCCGUCGUCUGUCUGUUCGUGUUGAGAGUAUGAAACAACAUCAGCGCAGUAUCUGCAAGCUACAUCAUUUGCGCACUGUUAUCUGCAUUGACCCACUUACAGAUGAUGUGAGCGAUGUUUUCAGUCAGUUAGUCUUGGAUGAAGGUAAUUGGAGACCUCUUUGUCAAGACUGAGCGAAUAGUUGAAUAUACACUCACAUUUUAGAUGAGAACCGUGAAGUCUGAAGAAAUUGCUAGCGCCAACCAAUUCAGACUCACAACUAUAAAGAAAAAGGCCCAACAUCUUUCCCCUCCAGUGACCUCGCCUUCAGCUCUCUCUGCCGCCUUGGACGAUUGCUGCAUGCAUCGCUCUUCCAUUCUGAACGGCUCCACCACCAGUGAUGUAACGCUUGACUAAAUUUGAAUAUCUGUUCUACAGUUAUUGUCGUUAAUUUGUUAUCCUGUCUUGGCGUGUUACUUUUGAUUGGUGAUGCUUGUAAAAGUUACCCCUUGUGAACUGA
rnacentral:rRNA from 1 species